UCUGAACAACAGACCUAAUCGUACACGACGGCAGAGCUCCGAAGAGGAGCGUGUAAACGUCGAACCGCUCGCAGACACGUUUUAAUGACAUUGACACCCAUUUCCUUCUCCGUUCUCGACCCUGAACCGACAGCUCUACUUAACACCUACGGCUUUUAAACGGACCUGUGCGGCGUUUAAUUACAGCGCUCAGCGUGCGUUUAACCCCUGCAGCGUUCACUCACAGCGCGGUGAACUCUACUGAACGCGCGCAGUCCCGCGGCGGCCGGAUGAGGAUGAGAAUGCGAAUACGAUGGACGCCUGUACAUGAAGUCUGCUGUGGUAGCGCCUGAUACGAGUGUUUUGACCUGUAGAGUAUCCAGUGAAGAGUUUCAUGUAGUGUUCAGUUCACUCCUGCAGCGCUCGGUUAAUAAACUACACUGAACUGAAUGAAAAUCAGACCCUGUUGAUCAUGAACACGUCGAUGAUUAGUACCACCGCAGAACUGAUUUCAUUUUUACCAGCUCCGACUGAACGCCUACAGUGUUGCGCUCGUCGCUGCUUUUGAAUCAACACCUUCAGGGCUAAAUGAACUGUCGUAGUGCCGCGUGCGGGUUUAAUUCACGCGGCAUUUGAUCCCGUCCGCUGAACACACACAAAUGUUCCCCUUCGGGUCGUUUUAUUACAGGCCGCGUGUCCCUGCGGCGCUCGUCCGGCGUUCGGGUAACACUCACAGCUGAAUCAACGUCUGCAGGUGACGUUCAUGUCAUUCGAUUAAUUAACACGAGAAGAAUUCCUCUCAUCUUUAGAGUACUGAAUUAACGCCCGCAGUGUUGGGUUCAUUACACACGUUUAUUUAAGACGUGUAACGUCAGGUUAAUUACACACGUUUAUUUAAGACGUGUAACGUCGGGUUAAUUACACACGUUUAUUUAAGACGUGUAACGUCGGGUUAAUUACACACGUUUAUUUAAGACGUGUAACGUCGGGUUAAUUACACACGUUUAUGCAGGUUAAUUAUAAAUAUUUAUUUAGGUUACUUAUAAACAUUUAUUUAGGUUACUUAUAAACAUUUAUUUAGGUUAAUUAUAAACAUUUAUUUAGGUUAAUUAAAAACAUUUAUUUAGGUUAAUUAUAAAUAUUUAUUUAGGUUAUUUAUAAACGUUUAUUUAAGACGUGUAGUGUUAAAUAAAUGUUUAUAAUUAAUCUAACACCACACGCCUUGAAUAAAUGUUUAUAAUUAAUGUAACCUGUAGUGUUAGAUUAAUUAUAAACGUUUAUUUAAAUACUACAGUCUUCAUUUAAUUAUCAGUGGAAUUAGCAUUUACAGUGCUGAGUUUUCUGAUCAGCACUGAUCUGAGACCUGUAGCAUUCACGGACUCACCAGUGUUGUAUUAAUGAAUGAUCACACAGUGUGUGUGGAAUUAGUGUGGAAUUAAGGCUCGCAGUGUUCAGUUCAGCAGUAGUGUUGGAUAUCUAAGCUUCUGGGAUUGACAGCCCGUCACAGUGGUUCUGGGUGGUGUGGAGUGGUUCUGGGUGGUGUGGAGUGGUUCUGGGUGGUGUUGAGUGGUUCUGGGUGGUGUUGAGUGGUUCUGGGUGGUGUGGAGUGGUUCUGGGU
ensembl:lncRNA